rnacentral:rRNA from 1 species
AUACGGAGGAUCCGAGCGUUAUCCGGAUUUAUUGGGUUUAAAGGGUGCGCAGGCGGCCAUUUAAGUCAGCGGUUAAAUCGUGGGGCUCAACCCCAUUCUGCCGUUGAUACUGGGUGGCUUGAUUGCGGUCGAGGUUGGCGGAAUUCGUUGUGUAGCGGUGAAAUGCAUAGAUAUGACGAAGAACACCGAUUGCGUAGGCAGCUGACCAGACCGCAAAUGACGCUCAUGCACGAAAGUGCGGGGAUCGAACAGGAAUAGAUUCCCUGGUAGUCCGCACAGUAAACGAUGAAUACUUGUUUUCGGCGAUAUAAUGUCGGUGGCAAAGCGAAAGCGAUAAGUAUUCCACCUGGGGAGUACGCCGGCAACGGUGAAACUCAAAUGAAUUGACGGGG